GCGACGCUCCCGCCCCACCGGGCCCUGCUCCCAGCCCCCGGGCCGCCGCUUCCCCGGAGGGCGGGCGGGCGCGGGGCGCGCGUGUGCCCGCGCAGUGGGAGGCCGGUGGGUGGGCGAGUGUCCCUAGGGACGCGCGACAGUCCCCACCUGGAGACGAAGGCGCGGCUGCAUGUGUGGGGGCAGCUCGCGGGCGGCGCAGCCUCCCGGAAAUUCUUCAGCCUGGAGCUGUGUACCCAACAGGCAGACGGCUCAGUCUGUGUAUAUUGUGUAAGUGUCUGGAAUGUACACCUGGUACCUCUCCACUGGUAUCCACAGUUUCAGAAAGUAAACAGAAGCUUUCAAGGAGGAAUAUGCUAUUAGAGACUGCCAAUCUCGAAAACUUUGUAACAGAAUAGCUGCCCAGAUGAAUGGUAAUGCUACUGGCUACAAUGAAAGAAAUGGAGGAAAAAGUGAACGACAGAGCUCGGGAAGACAGGUUCAAUUAGGAGAAGAUGAUCCAGAAAUACAUGCCAGAGGAAGUGUUCAGUAGGCCGUUGGGUAGUGCAGCUCAAGAACUAAAUAUUAGUCAGUGCUAAGUAUAGGCACACGUCUGCAAUAGUGUGGUUGGGUUCCAGACCGCCGCAAUCAAGCGGGAAUCACAGCAAAGCCUCUCGUAAUCUUUUUGCUGGUGGAGGGUCUUGCCUUCA